CGGCCACGGUACCCUAACCGUGCGAAGGUAGCAUAAUCACUUCUUCUUUAAAUGGGGACUCGUAUCAACGGCAUCACGAGGGUUCUACUGUCUCCUUUCUCUAAUCAGUGAAACUAAUCUCCCCGUGAAGAAGCGAGGAUAACACUAUAAGACGAGAAGACCCCAUGGAGCUUUAAACCCAAUUAUAUUCCUAACCCCCACAACCAUUUAAUCUCUUAGGCCCCAUAUACUUGGUUUUAGGUUGGGGCGACCACGGAGUAAAACCAAACCUCCAUGAUGUACGGAACAACCUCCUUAUCCAAGAGCCACAGCUCUAAGAAUUAGCACACUAUCAAAAAAUGACCCAUUAUUGAUCAACGAACCAAGUUACCCUGGGGAUAACAGCGCAAUCCAUUUUAAGAGCCCCUAUCGACAAAUGGGUUUACGACCUCGAUGUUGGAUCAGGAUAUCCCAGUGGUGCAGCAACUACUAAAGGUUCGUUUGUUCAACGAUUAAAAUCCU
rnacentral:rRNA from 1 species